GCUCCAGUGGCGCAAUUGGUCAGCGCGCGGUACUUAUAAUGCCGAGGUUGUGAGUUCAAGCCUUACCUGGAGCA